rnacentral:rRNA from 1 species
GACGAACGCUGGCGGCGUGCUUAACACAUGCAAGUCGAACGGGCCCGCUCUCUUUUUUGGGGGUGGGUUGAGUGGCGAACGGGUGAGUAUCACGUGAGUAACCUGCCCCCUGCUCCUGGAUAACUGCUUGAAAGGGCGGCUAAUACGGGGUGUGCCGGCUGGUCCGCAUGGGCCUGGUCGGGAUAGUUUCAUCUUCGGGUGUUUCGGUGGGGGAUGGGCUCGCGGCCUAUCAGCUUGUUGGUGGGGUGAUGGCCCACCAAGGCGGUGACGGGGAGCCGGCCUGAGAGGGUGGGCGGCCACACUGGGACUGAGACACGGCCCAGACUCCUGCGGGAGGCAGCAGUGGGGGGUAUUGCACAAUGGGCGGAAGCCUGAUGCAGCGACGUCGCGUGAGGGAUGGAGGCCUUCGGGUUGUGAACCUCUUUCUCCGGUGGUGAAGGCCCUGUCCGUUGCGGCGGGGUUGACGGUAGCCGGGUAUGAAGCGCCGGCUAACUACGUG